rnacentral:hammerhead_ribozyme from 1 species
GUCCAGCUGACGAGUUCCGAAUAGGACGAAACGUGAGUUCUAGAU